rnacentral:lncRNA from 1 species
GAAAAAGAGAAGACGGUACCUUGGAUUAUAGAAACUAUAUCGUAGAAAUAACCAAAACAAUGAGAACUUAAAAAAACUUAACAUACUAUAAAACGAUAAAAUGAGCACAACAUUAGGUGCUUUUGUGUGUUCUGGUUAAGAAAAGCAUAUAGAUAAACAGUGGGCAAAAAACAUUCAAAGAACAAAAUUAGGGAAAAAAAUCGAAUGACUUUGUCUUUCUGUACAUGAUUUGAAAAAUGGAUAGCAAUUCAUAAAAUUCUAUUGACAACGCCGC